GAUGAACGCUGGCGGCGUGCCUAAUACAUGCGAGUCGAGCGAACAGACGAGGAGCUUGCUCCUCUGACGUUAGCGGCGGCCGGGUGAGUAACACGUGGAUAACCUACCUAUAAGACUGGGAUAACUUCGGGAAACCGGAGCUAAUACCGGAUAAUAUAUUGAACCGCAUGGUUCAAUAGUGAAAGACGGUUUUGCUGUCACUUAUAGAUGGAUCCGCGCCGCAUUAGCUAGUUGGUAAGGUAACGGCUUACCAAGGCAACGAUGCGUAGCCGACCUGAGAGGGUGAUCGGCCACACUGGAACUGAGACACGGUCCAGACUCCUACGGGAGGCAGCAGUAGGGAAUCUUCCGCAAUGGGCGAAAGCCUGACGGAGCAACGCCGCGUGAGUGAUGAAGGUCUUCGGAUCGUAAAACUCUGUUAUUAGGGAAGAACAAAUGUGUAAGUAACUAUGCACGUCUUGACGGUACCUAAUCAGAAAGCCACGGCUAACUACGUG
rnacentral:rRNA from 1 species